UGGGGAAUAUUGGACAAUGGGCGAAAGCCUGAUCCAGCCAUGCCGCGUGAGUGAAGAAGGCCUUAGGGUUGUAAAGCUCUUUCGUUGGGGAAGAUAAUGACGGUACCCAAAGAAGAAGCCCCGGCUAACUUCGUGCCAGCAGCCGCGGUAAUACGAAGGGGGCUAGCGUUGUUCGGAAUUACUGGGCGUAAAGCGCGCGUAGGCGGACGUUUAAGUCAGGGGUGAAAUGCCGGGGCUCAACCCCGGAACUGCCUUUGAUACUGGACGUCUGGAGUUCGGGAGAGGUGAGUGGAAUUCCGAGUGUAGAGGUGAAAUUCGUAGAUAUUCGGAGGAACACCAGAAGCGAAGGCGGCUCACUGGCCCGAUACUGACGCUGAGGCGCGAAAGCGUGGGGAGCAAACAGGAUUAGAUACCCCCGUAGUCC
rnacentral:rRNA from 1 species